UACUAGGUAGCUCAGUGGUUUAGAGCAGUCGCCCGGCAAGCGAAAGACCCGGGUUCCGAUUCCCGGUCUAGCGA
rnacentral:tRNA from 1 species